rnacentral:rRNA from 1 species
UACGGAGGGAGCUAGCGUUGUUCGGAAUUACUGGCGUAAAGCGCACGUAGGCGGCUUUGUAAGUUAGAGGUGAAAGCCCGGGGCUCAACUCCGGAACUGCCUUUAAGACUGCAUCGCUUGAAUCCAGGAGAGGUGAGUGGAAUUCCGAGUGUAGAGGUGAAAUUCGUAGAUAUUCGGAAGAACACCAGUGGCGAAGGCGGCUCACUGGACUGGUAUUGACGCUGAGGUGCGAAAGCGU